rnacentral:rRNA from 1 species
CCUACGGGCGGCAGCAGUGGGGAAUAUUGGACAAUGGGGGCAACCCUGAUCCAGCCAUGCCGCGUGUGUGAAGAAGGCCCUCGGGUUGUAAAGCACUUUCAGUGAGGAAGAACGCCUGGUGGUUAAUACCCAUCAGGAAAGACAUCACUCACAGAAGAAGCACCGGCUAACACCGUGCCAGCAGCCGCGGUAAUACGGAGGGUGCGAGCGUUAAUCGGAAUUACUGGGCGUAAAGCGCGCGUAGGUGGCUUGAUAAGCCGGUUGUGAAAGCCCCGGGCUCAACCUGGGAACGGCAUCCGGAACUGUCAAGCUAGAGUGCAGGAGAGGAAGGUAGAAUUCCCGGUGUAGCGGUGAAAUGCGUAGAGAUCGGGAGGAAUACCAGUGGCGAAGGCGGCCUUCUGGACUGACACUGACACUGAGGUGCGAAAGCGUGGGUAGCAAACAGGAUUAGAUACCCGGGUAGUC